rnacentral:rRNA from 1 species
AUGAGGUUGGAGCACACAUGUCCCACCCGGUCUGAGAAAACUAGGAUUAGUUCAAGGUGGCUUGGCAACAAAAUGCUUGAAACUAUCAGAUCAGAUCCCAACACUACUAUACCUGCUAUUGUUGACAAGGCAAAGAGGCAAUUUGGGCUUGAGAUUCCUAGGAUGAUGGCAUGGAGGGCUAAGAAGAAAGCAAAGGAGAUUGUGCUUGGUGAUCACAAGAAGCAAUAUAAGAGGCUGAGAGACUAUUUGGAGACUGUGAAGCUUACAAAUCCUGGAUCUAGGUGCAUUGUCACUACUGUUAGUGGCAAAACCAGAGAAAAUCCUACUACUGGACCAAGGUUCCAUGGUCUAUUUUUCAGUUUGAAUGCAUGUUGUGAGGGCUUCUUGAAUGGAUGUAGGCCAUUCAUAGGUCUAGAUGGCUGCUUCAUCAAAUUGACAAGUGGUGCACAGAUACUAGCAGCUACUGGAAGGGAUGCAAACAACAAUAUGUACCCCAUUGCAUUUGGAGUGGUUGGAGUUGAAGAUACAGUGAACUAG